CGCCUCCCAGAGGAGUUGGCUUCUUUUUGUCUUAAAGUUAAUGCACCAAAUCACCCAGGAAAGCAUCCAGCACUGUCAGGAGGAUGGACCUGCAGUGUUGGUGUGACAGCAGCAGUCCCCAUGGGAGCACUGACUCAGAGAUGAAGAGAAAUGGCUUUGCUUGCAAAAAAGCUGAGCUCUGCCUGGAUCCCAGCUGGAAAUGCCUCUGGGUGCCACGUCUGGGAAGAACGUGGCUAAUUCAGACUCUCUUGGGAAUGUCCUGGCCUCCUGUUGCUGAUUCUGAGAGUGCAGGAGGUCUCAGCGUGUGUCUGGAGGAGCAGCCAUAGAAGUGAGAUAACAUCUCUGCAGGUGAAAAAACUGCAAAAGUGGCACAAAUAGGAGCUCUGCUGCCUGACAUCCCCCAUCUGUCCAAGCAGCCCAGAGCUGCUCCUGGUGUGAGCAGCACUUCCAUCACUCCCCCAGGAGCCAGACCCCUGAUGCAUUCAUGUCAGCCUAAAGCCCCUCUGAGCCAUUUCAUCCCAUUAUUAUCAUUUUUUUUCUUGUAUUUCUGCCUGCACCCACACCAGUGACAUGGAACCAUCACGCUGUUAUCUGUUAGCAGCAUUUACAAGCCCAGCUGCAUCUGCAGCUUUCUGCCUACAGAAGAUACACAAGGCUUUUCCUCUUAGGUUGAAAAUUAUCAGCUUAAACAGAACCUGCUUUUACUCCAUCAGAGGGAAGGAUGUGAACCCACAGCCACAAAGCAGUGACCAUCCCCCAGCCCAGCAGAGAAAGCUGAGCAAUAAAACAAAUUACCUAAAGCCACCUUAAUGACA